rnacentral:misc_RNA from 1 species
AACCUAGCACACCUGCGGUGUGUACCUGCGGAAGGAUCAUUACCGAGUUUACAACUCCCAAACCCCUGUGAACAUACCUAUACGUUGCCUCGGCGGAUCAGCCCGCGCCCCGUAAAACGGGACGGCCCGCCCGAGGACCCCUAAACUCUGUUUUUAGUGGAACUUCUGAGUAAAACAAACAAAUAAAUCAAAACUUUUAGCAAUGGAUCU